rnacentral:rRNA from 1 species
AACGAACGCUGGCGGCAGGCCUAACACAUGCAAGUCGAGCGCCCUUUCGGGGGAGCGGCGGACGGGUGAGUAACGCGUGGGAAUAUGCCCUUCUCUACGGAAUAGCCUCGGGAAACUGAGAGUAAUACCGUAUACGCCCUUUGGGGGAAAGAUUUAUCGGGGAAGGAUUAGCCCGCGUUGGAUUAGGUAGUUGGUGGGGUAAUGGCCUACCAAGCCGACGAUCCAUAGCUGGUUUGAGAGGAUGAUCAGCCACACUGAGACUGAGACACGGCCCAGACUCCUACGGGAGGCAGCAGUGGGGAAUCUUAGACAAUGGGGGCAACCCUGAUCUAGCCAUGCCGCGUGAGUGAUGAAGGCCUUAGGGUUGUAAAGCUCUUUCAGCUGGGAAGAUAAUGACGGUACCAGCAGAAGAAGCCCCGGCUAACUCCGUG